rnacentral:rRNA from 1 species
UACGUAGGGGGCAAGCGUUGUUCGGAUUCAUUGGGCGUAAAGGGCGCGUAGGCUGCGGGGCAAGUCGGGUGUGAAAUCUCAGAGCUCAACUCUGAAACUGCAUUCGAUACUGCCGUGCUUGAGGACUGGAGAGGAGACUGGAAUUUACGGUGUAGCGGUGAAAUGCGUAGAUAUCGUAAGGAAGACCAGUGGCGAAGGCGGGUCUCUGGACAGUUCCUGACGCUGAGGCACGAAGGUCAGGGGAGCAAACGGG